rnacentral:rRNA from 2 species
CUGCAUGGAGCCGACCUUGAAAUACCACCCUUUAAUGUUUGAUGUUCUAACGUGGACCCGUAAUCCGGGUUGCGGACAGUGUCUGGUGGGUAGUUUGACUGGGGCGGUCUCCUCCUAAAGAGUAACGGAGGAGCACGAAGGUUGGCUAAUCCUGGUCGGACAUCAGGAGGUUAGUGCAAUGGCAUAAGCCAGCUUGACUGCGAGCGUGACGGCGCGAGCAGGUGCGAAAGCAGGUCAUAGUGAUCCGGUGGUUCUGAAUGGAAGGGCCAUCGCUCAACGGAUAAAAGGUACUCCGGGGAUAACAGGCUGAUACCGCCCAAGAGUUCAUAUCGACGGCGGUGUUUGGCACCUCGAUGUCGGCUCAUCACAUCCUGGGGCUGAAGUAGGUCCCAAGGGUAUGGCUGUUCGCCAUUUAAAGUGGUACGCGAGCUGGGUUUAGAACGUCGUGAGACAGUUCGGUCCCUAUCUGCCGUGGGCGCUGGAGAACUGAGGGGGGCUGCUCCUAGUACGAGAGGACCGGAGUGGACGCAUCACUGGUGUUCGGGUUGUCAUGCCAAUGGCACUGCCCGGUAGCUAAAUGCGGAAGAGAUAAGUGCUGAAAGCAUCUAAGCACGAAACUUGCCCCGAGAUGAGUUCUCCCUGAGACUUAGAGUCUCCUGAAGGAACGUUGAAGACGACGACGUUGAUAGGCCGGGUGUGUAAGCGCAGCGAUGCGUUGAGCUAACCGGUACUAAUGAACCGUGAGGCUUAACCUU